UACGUAGGGCGCAAGCGUUAUCCGGAAUUAUUGGGCGUAAAGAGCUCGUAGGCGGUUUGUCGCGUCUGCCGUGAAAGUCCGGGGCUCAACUCCGGAUCUGCGGUGGGUACGGGCAGACUAGAGUGAUGUAGGGGAGACUGGAAUUCCUGGUGUAGCGGUGAAAUGCGCAGAUAUCAGGAGGAACACCGAUGGCGAAGGCAGGUCUCUGGGCAUUAACUGACGCUGAGGAGCGAAAAGCAGUGGGGAGCGAACAGG
rnacentral:rRNA from 1 species